CGCCAUUUUCAUCCCGGCUCGGAGAAUGAAAACACACAGCGGAGAUCUGACUCGUUUGUUUAAUUCAACGCAUUCUCAGCUCAUCGAUCGAAGAGACCACUAUUUCUACACUGCUUGUGCCCUCAUCUUUUCAUGGUACCCAUGCAGAUCCUCAGACAGAUACAGACACCACUGAUGCACUGACUGUGCCCUCGCUGUUCUCAUCUUGUGGUUCCCAUGUGGAGCAUCAUUCAGCAACAGGAACUACAUAGACUACCAUUUAAAAGGGUUUGAACAGUAAGAUUUUUUAUGUUUUUUUAGAGAAGUUUCUUCUGCUCACCUGCAUUUAUUUGAUCUGACGUACAGCAAAAACAUCAAAAUACUGAAAUAUUUUUUCUAUUUAAAAUAACUGCUUUCCAUAUGAAUCUGUUUUGAAAUUGUAUUUUGUUCCUGUGAUUUCAAAGCUGC